rnacentral:rRNA from 1 species
CCUUGUCUUUAGUUGCCAUCAUUAAGUUGGGCACUCUAGAGAGACUGCCAGGGAUAACCUGGAGGAAGGUGGGGAUGACGUCAAAUCAUCAUGCCCCUUAUGCUUAGGGCUACACACGUGCUACAAUGGGUAGUACAGAGGGUUGCCAAGCCGUAAGGUGGAGCUAAUCCCUUAAAGCUACUCUUAGUUCGGAUUGUAGGCUGAAACUCGCCUACAUGAAGCUGGAGUUACUAGUAAUCGCAGAUCAGAAUGCUGCGGUGAAUGCG